UACGGAGGAUGCGAGCGUUAUCCGGAAUUAUUGGGUUUAAAGGGUGCGUAGGUUGCAAGGGAAGUCAGGGGUGAAAAGCUAUAGCUCAACUAUGGUCUUGCCUUUGAAACUCUCUAGCUAGAGUGUACUGGAGGUACGUGGAACGUGUGGUGUAGCGGUGAAAUGCAUAGAUAUCACACAGAACUCCGAUUGCGCAGGCAGCGUACUACAUUACAACUGACACUGAAGCACGAAAGCGUGGGUAUCAAACAGG
rnacentral:rRNA from 3 species